rnacentral:sRNA from 2 species
CCGGGUCGACCACCACAACCCGGGCAGGGGCGGGGGAACCACGUACGUCGCCGUCCCCCACGGCUAGGGGUGAAGCCGUCCACGCCGGUCCGACCGGAGUGCGGCGGCCGGACCUCCCUCCCGGUCCGAACCCGACAGCUCACCUCGCAGGCGUGCGGAGAGGAUCG